AUUGAACGCUGGCGGCAGGCUUAACACAUGCAAGUCGAGCGAGCGGCGGACGGGUGAGUAAUGUCUGGGAAACUGCCUGAUGGAGGGGGAUAACUACUGGAAACGGUAGCUAAUACCGCAUACCAUCAGAUGUGCCCAGAUGGGAUUAGCUAGUAGGUGGGGUAAUGGCUCACCUAGGCGACGUACCCUAGCGGGGCUGAGAGGAUGACCGGACAGACGGGAACUGAGACACGGUCCAGACUCCUACGUGAGGCAGCAGGGGGGAAUAUGGCACAAUGGGCGCAAGCCGGAUGCAGCCAUGCCGCGUGUGUGAAGAAGGCCUUCGGGUUGUAAAGCACUUUCAGCGAGGAGGCGUUACUCGCAGAAGAAGCACCGGCUAACUCCGUGCCAGCCGCCGCGGUAAUUC
rnacentral:rRNA from 1 species